rnacentral:snoRNA from 1 species
AAAUGAAGGAAGCAUGGUACUGUGCACGGAAACUGAGCUACCGCAGAUCGACAUGUCUGCCAUCUCUGAUUUUUUUUUUGUGAUGAGACGGCCUGGUUUAGAUCUACAUUC